GCUGCCCCUAGAGACAUUGCAGGUGAGGCUGCGACAUCACAUGUGUGUCAGGUGGUGGCAGAGAGGAAAGAGGCUAUGUCUGCAUUCAGUAUUCUGAUCUAUAAACAUCUAAGUGAUUAGUAGCCUAACAUU